GUCCACGCAGUAACGAUGAUAACUCGUUGUCGGCGAUACACAGUCGGUGACUAAGCGAAAGCGAUAAGUUAUCCACCUGGGAGUACGUUCGCAAGAAUGAAACUCAAAGGAAUUGACGGGGCCCGCACAAGCGGAGGAACAUGUGGUUAAUUCGAUGAUACGCGAGGAACCUUACCCGGGCUUGAAAGUUACUGACGAUUCUGGAAACAGGAUUUCCCUUUGGGGCAGGAACUAGGUGCUGCAUGGUUGUCGU
rnacentral:rRNA from 1 species